CCUAGAGGAAGUCAAAGUUGUUCACUAUUGUGCAAACGGUUCAAAGCCCUGGAGGUAUACAGGAAAAGAAGAAAACAUGGAUAGAGAAGACAUAAAAUUGCUGGUAAACAAAUGGUUGGACAUAUAUAACGAUGAAUCCCUUGAUUACAAGCCUGAAGUUGAGGCUCAUCGUCGGAAGUUGCAACCUUUCAAGGCGGCGCUAUCGGAGGCUGGUGUUCUUCACUAUGUUUCCGCCCCAUCUGCUGCCUAGAACGAGCUCCCUAGUGGAUAUCCAUCUUCUUUUUUGUUGUACAAAUUUUUUGUUGAGGUUUCUUUUUGUUUGGCUUUUGUUUAUGUUUGUUAUGUAAAAAGAUGAACUAGAAAAUAGUCUCCCUUGAUAUCUCUUUCUCUUACUAUUCUGUAAGCUUUGGAAUUUGUGAAAAUAUUGUAAAAAUUAUGCGAGUAUGCAAGUAUGCAACUAUAUAUUAAUGAAAGGGGAAAAAAUGUCUUAUGGUUUA